GAUCCAGUGAAGGACUUAGCCUAAUCUACAGAGAGCUCUGGAGCCAGAAUGACCUUUCAGAGUUGCCCCACAGAGUAAGUAUGUUGGUUAGUCAGUAGCUGUGGGCUUGGGUGAAGCAGUAUUCUUUAGCUGAAGCAAUCCUCAAAGAGGACUGACAGCUGAGAGCCCUGUUCUAUCAGUACUCCCAGCUACCAGAGAGAUAGUGCCUCCUGGCAAGUAGGAUCUGCAGAAUUUAUAUGCAAGACUGCAACUUUAACUCUGUCCUGAGUCUCCAGCCUGCUGGCCUGCCCUAGAGAUUUUGGACUUGUCAGCCCCCACAAUCAUGUAAGCCAAUUCCUUAAAAUCAAUCAAGCAAUCUCUCAGAGUUUUAAGAAAGAAUUGAUGUCACAGCUUUCAGUCCAAAUUCUGCAGGGCAAUAGACUAACUGAGUCUACUGAGCAGCUUUGCCAUGUUGCAGUCUUGAGGAAACUUCCUUCUUUUUUGAGAAAUCUCUCUUUGCUCUUAGGCCUGCCACUGAUUGAAUGAGGCCCACCCAUUGCUCUCCACUGCUUUACUUAGAGUCAACUGAUUGUAAACACACACACACACACAUGCAUACACCCUAUUCAUUCUCAUUCUCUGGAGAACAGUAACUAAUACAACCUUUUAUUCCACAAUUUUAUUUGCAAAACAACUAAAUCCAAUUUAAUGGAAGCUACAGAUUACAGAUUUUUAGUGCCUAAAGAAAUGUAUAGCUGUGUGAAAGGGAAAGCGCUGUUCAUGUAAUUUAAGAUAUAAUUGGCCACACUUCUCCUCUGACACAGUGUUACCUCAGGUAAUUAUUAUACUAAAAUCAUUAUAUCAAAUGCAUAUUACAUGUUGACAAAACUUUCAACUGACUUUAAUGAGGGAAAUGGAUGAAAGCUAAAUAAAAUGAUCUGAAAGAUUAUUAAAACAACAGUCAUUCUAACAGACAGAUCCAGAACCAAGAAAGAACGGAGGUGGGAACCUUCAAACAGCCUGGAGAAACAGCUAAGAUGAAAGAGGAGAGACCCAAGAAAGCAAACCUGAGCAGAGAGGAGGAAGCAAGGAGAUUAGAGGGCACAGAGAUCAGAGGGGAGGGCCUCCAAGAGGAUCACGAUUUGGUGCACUAAGGUGAGAGAAUAUAAGAUGUUACAUGCAAUAGACAUUGUCUGUGCCUUAAGACGUGAGAAAAACAUUAGAAGAGCUGAGAGACAGCGGGGAGUCUUGUCUGUUUUCGCCCGAGUCCCCUGGGAGUGCCAGCCUUCUGUUUCUGCUCCAAGGGUAUUUUCAUAUAUUUACACUCAGUGCACCAUCUGUUAUUUUCCUGCCUGGCUCAUUAUAAAAUCCCACUACAUGCUAGAGCAACUGAAAUUUCUGUACCUUUCCAAAUAUGCUAUUCAGUGUCAGUCUUCCAUGACUAUAUGAUGAGAUUAAAAAUUCAUCAAAGUAGAGUCAAUCCUGCUGUGUUUUUUUUCUCCCAAACAGUCUUUAAUGCUGCGUAACAUUCUUGAGUUUUUUUGCAGUAAUGGUGUUUGCACAUUUCAGAAACACAUACCAAUUGAAGACAGAGAGUGCAGUGGCGCUAUCUUGGUUCACUGCAAGCUCCGCCUCCCGGGUUCACCCCAUUCUCCCGCCCCAGCCUCCCCAGUAGCUGGGACUACAGGCCCCGCCACCCCGCCCAGAUAAUUUUUUGUAUUUUUAGUAGAGACAGGGUUUCACGAUGUUAGCCAGGAUGGUCUCGAUCUGCUGACCUCUUGAUCUGCCCACCUUGGCCUCCCAAAGUGCUGGGAUUAUAGGUGUGAGCCACUGUGCCCGGCUUUUUUUGUAUUUUAGUAGAGACAGGGUUUCAUCAUGUUGCCCAAGCUGGUCUGAAACUCCUGAGCUCAGGCAAUC
rnacentral:lncRNA from 1 species